AACACUUUUAUUUUACGACAACCUCAGAUGCUCAUGAACUACAGGCCAAAUGUCAAGGUAUUUACUCAUGGAGUUAGAUCCCACUGAGCAUUAGCUGGCAUCCUGCGUCAGAGGGUUGCUUGCAAAAGCUGAAGGCAUGCCACGACCGCUUGAGAUCUCCAGCACCUUGCAAAGCCAUGUGGGUGUUCAGGGUACUGUGAUUAAUCCUAGGAGCACGAACAAAAAGGGGAAAAAAAGAACAGAUUUGGCCCAUAAUCAGAGAGCCAGUUAGGUGCACACAGCUGUGCACAAUACAGAUUGCAGGGUGUCACUGCUGCUAUUGAAUUCAAUAGAAAACUGCUUACUGGCCUAACAAGGACAGAUUUAAUCCUAGACCCUGAAAUAUCUCCACAAACCAGGUCGCAACUGCUUUUUGUGUCCUGGGAAAUGAGAGCAAUUCUUUCUAUCAUAUUCAGAAAGAAAAUGAAAAGUUUUGCAGAACUCCUCACUCACAGGAAGAUCCGUGGGGUUACACCCCUGGCCCACGUCUCUCCGCUUGUGAAACACGGAGGAAGGAGCUUAUUGACAUGUUCCUUCCCUGGAGCCCCACCUCAGCAGCACGGCUCACCUGGCCAAAGUCUGCAGCAAAGACUCCGUGCAGGAAGGAGAACUUGGUGCCACUGACUCACUUGGUGUCUUCUGCCUUUUCAGCAUCUUCCGAGAGGCUUGGUUCUGCUUCUAAGUCUAUGAAAUUAUGGUCUUUUCCUACUAAAAAAUAAUCCUCUCCACCCAUCCAAAUACUGAGCCCACUAAAAUAUCCUCAGCUAUUUCUCUAAGCGCAUCAAUUUUUUUUCUAACACAAAAUAAAUAUAUUUUCAAAAUCA
rnacentral:lncRNA from 1 species